CAAAGUAACUGUGGUUAGCCAACGAAAGAGAAAUAAAGGAGGGGAGAGAAGCGGGUUCUCUCUAAGGGACGUAACUCUCGAUUUUUUUCCUACUCCAUUAUGAUCUGAAGAUCUUUCACUUAGUGUCCUCUAAGCCAAGGUUGUGUCGUUUGAACACAUGCAGUAUCGCUCUAAAUUAAUUCAGUUGAACCGUUGAAGUUCUUACGUUAUACAGUUCUCUAGCCGAAGUUGGAAUUUCUCUAUGUUACCUUUUCUUUACCACUUCUUCUUAACCUGGCUGUCAUACAUGUACCCAGACGUGAAGUUUGUUUUUACUUGAACCACGAGGUAAUAGAGCAUCCUGUAGUGGUGUUUAUGUAUCACCACCAUCUUCUUCGAACUUGAUAAAUAAUUGUGUCAGCCAACACACAAUGUCUGUCCCGCUUAACUUCUUCAGCUCUGUGAUGCUACAAGCUGGACGUUUCAUCCGACAAUAAUAUGUCACUCAUACCACGCUGUUCGACGGUUUGCCGUUCGAGCUGCCUCUUUUCCUGUUUGAUCAAACAUUAUUCAUCUCACCCAAAGACAGUUUCAUCAAAAGUCUAUGCAAAAAUACAGAAGAAGAAGCUUUUCCGUGAAAUUUGCAAUCACAAAGAAUUGGUGGCCUUGUUGAAUGCUCGUCUAAGCCAGUUGCAGGGAUCCAGUGAUGAAUUUCAUGUCCUUCGACCUGCACACCAUGAUGGCAGUUUUGAGGACCGUUUGCAAGAGCUUCGUUAUUUUUAUGAUAGUGCACCAAUUGGUUUCGAAAGAUCAGUGAGUGUUUGUCCACUUUCAAACAUUACUCCUGCUUUUAUAAAAGAACUCAUGACUACACAGCAGAAACUGACAGAAAUCAGCAGUGAUGUGUGGCAUCAAGACUACAAAUCAUUCCACAAUCAAAUGAUGGCUGUCAUUAAGAAAUCAAAAGGGAAGAAGAAACAACCUGUUUCUUUAAAAACCACAAAACGAAACUUAAAGGUAUCAUGGAAAGAAAACAAAAAUGUUACUGAUAAAUUACACAGACAAAAAGAACUGUGCCAAACUGUUGUCCCUACAUUGGUCUCUCCUCCUGGAGAAUGUUUUGCCACUGAAGAAGAUUUUGCCUCUGGAAAGUUUUCUACCUCAGAAGAAGUUUCUGUCCCAGGAGGGGAUUUUGUCAAUGUCUUGAAAUGUAUGCAUGAUAAUCAAUUUGUCAGUGAAGAAGUCCUCCUAUCUGAAAGGAAUCACACACAUUUGUACACUGACAUAGACACAGAAGAGGUUAACAGUUUUACAGACACUUCAAACCAGAUAGUUCCUGGUUCAGUAGAUCCUAAACCUUGCUCUAUGCCAGAUGCUAAUUUGGAUUCACAAAAGGCUGUUACAACAGCAGCUGCUACUGUCAGUACUGCUAAUACCAAAGCCAAGACCAAACCUCAAAGCAAAAAGCCAGCCAUAAAUCUAAAAAAAAGUCGAAACUUAGAGAGAUGGCGGCAGAACCCAAUUGAAAUGAACUUGAUGUUCAAUAAUGACUUAGAGGCUUAUGUUAAUGCUUGUCUUUUCUCUGGAAUGGUCAACAAAGCUUUGGCUAUCAUCAAGUUCUAUAACUACCAACACAAGCACCGACCUGCUGAAGUUACAUUGAAGAUCAUAAAACCAGAGAUUUAUAGCAACAUUAUGCAUGCACUGGCUAAACAGGGAAAUUUUGAUUCCAUCCAGGACCUCUUUAAGAUGAUGAAGAUCCAUUUAAAACCAACCCUGCAGUGUUAUGCUGCUUGUCUUGAAUGCUUUGGCAGGAAAGAUUCUCCAGAUCUUCAGCUUGGUCAACAUAUUCUUCAGGAUUUAAAGAGAGAUGGUUACUGUGCAUCACAGAUAUUUAACAGUUGUACAUUCAGGAGAGAUGAAAGACAAUAUGUGUUAAAGGCUCUAAAGCUGAUCAGUCUUGAUUAUGAACCAUCUAGCAAAGAAAUCAAUCUGAAAUAUUCAAGAAAUAUACUUCAAAACUUGAAUACUCCUCCACUCCCUGAUACGGUCAUUGAAAAGAAUCCUUACCAUGGAGUAGUGGAUAACGACCAUCUGGAGAAACAGUUAUUGUUACAGCAUAAGUGGGAAUGUGAUGACCAUGUGGUGCUAAAGUCUGUUAUCAACCAAGAGAAAAUCCAGCCUUCAACUAAACCAGUACUUGAGAAACUGUUAAGGACAUGGCAGAAAGAUCUGGAAGCUGGCUUCAAAAGGAAGAUUAAUAUCUAUGAAAACAAGAAAUAUGAGAAUUCUAUGACACUCUAUCCUUACCUGAAACUGUUCCCUGUCAAAGACUAUGUGAACAUCAUGUUAAGAGAAGCUCAGCGUUUGGCUAGUGAUUCAGAAGCAUUCAGCCCUAGCCUCAAUUUCCUCUGGUUACGUAUGGGCAACAAAGUUUACUAUCGCUUUCUUAUUGAAGAUAAAAUCAACUCUUUAGUUUCCAAAAAGACUGUCCACUUAUACAAUGAGUAUAUUGAAAAAUACAAUGAAAAACAACCAGAAUUGGUCAAUCAUCGACUUAUUUGGUUGAACCUGAUGAAGAAACACUGUGAUGGGCCAUCUUUGGAUGUUCCUCUCAAAACAUGGCCUCUUCAUGUAAUUAAAGGAGUUGGAAGGAUUCUGUUUGACAUAAUUCUAUAUGACUUACAUAUUGAGCUGAACCAAGACAAAGACAAAAGUAACAGUCAAAAACACAUCCCAGCCUUUUACACAGUUUAUCGGAAUUACAGCUUCAUUACAAAGGAAGAAGUUAAGCCUCAUCCAAAAACAAUGAAAAUAUUCCAAACAAACAGCACAUCAGAACUGGUGUUUGACACAGUAGCAUUGCCAAUGCUUGUACCACCUGUCCCAUGGAUAUCGGAAAACCUAGGAACCAAUCUGCUAGCCACUACUAAACUGGUCCGUCUGGCAGAUUCCAUGCAUUCUCAGAAUAAACUCAGCCAAGUUACCCAUAGUUCUUCUGAAGAACUGUCAGCUGUCUUUGAUGGUUUAAAUAUUCUCAGUGCUUGUCCUUGGACUAUUAAUAAACCUAUUCUUGACUUAAUUAUUAAAAUAUUCAACAACAAAGGUAACAAAAACCUAGAUAUUCCACCGCCAUCCUCAGAAUGUCCACCAUUUCCUAAAAUAACAAGUGAUAUGACAGUUCAGCAACGGUCACAGGCUCAGAGGUUGCGUAUAAAACUGAAACAACAGAGUGCUGAGAUGUACAGUUUGUGGUGUAAUGAGCUUUAUAAACUCUCCAUUGCCAACCAUUUCCGAGAUGAAGUGUUCUGGUUUCCUCACAGUAUUGACUUCCGAGGACGGACAUAUCCUUGUCCUCCUCAUCUUAACCAUUUAGGAUCACAGAGGAAGGCUCCAUAGUUACUAACUUUUACAGAAAAGCCACUAGCAAAAAACUUUUCGUCCACUACCAAUCAGCCUUACCCACCAGAACCAAAGCCACUUACAGGAGAAAUAAGAUUGCACAUAUAAACAACAAUUGCAGCGAAGUGACUGACAAAGCCGUCAACACCAAGCAGUUCCUCAGAGACCUAACUCUGAAUGGCUACCAUCAUCUCUAGCCAAACAAUGACGCCUAAAGAACAUCAGGGUCAAUAAACCCCGGAAGAACCAUCAUGCUCCCAAGUCCAGCACAUGCUUCCUAAAGCUACCACAUUUUGACAACAGAACUACUGCAGUGACACAACACACAGUCCACAAGAAAGGAUUUGACAUACAGAUAGUGCACACCGGCCCUUCCUUGAGAAAAGCUCUGUCCAAGAACAACACCUUUCACUACUCUGAGGCAUGCACAUUAUCAAACUGCCCCAUCAAUGACCCUGAAUUGUGCCAGAGGACCUAUGUUGUAUACGAGAUCAUCUGUGGCAUAUACGCAUAAGGAACACAUGCAGGCAGACACCUCCUUGAAGAAACAUCUAAGGAAAUGCCAGAUCCGGGAAUUCACAGUGCACAUCAGGGCAACACAGCGGAACAGAGGCAACCUUAGAAUCUCUGAGGCAACCUCAUACACCAAAGGAAACGAAAUAUCAACAACAGAAGAGAGUUACAGGAAGCUAGCUGGUUGCUGUAGCAACACCUUUCUGUGCAUGUCCACUCCACAUUUGUUAAUUUCUUGAAAAUAUAGUCAUAACCCCGAAAUACUGAAUGCAAGGCAGUGAUGUUUCUCGAAGUAUUCUCCGCUUUGCCAAAGGCCAAAGACUUGGUUCUCAUGGUUUAGACUGGUUGAAGAUUCACCUUGUUAAUCUCACAGGUUUUCA